GAUGAACGCUGGCGGCGUGCCUAAUACAUGCAAGUCGAGCGAACGGACGAUAAGCUUGCGUCUCUGAUGUUAGCGGCGGACGGGUGAGUAACACGUGGAUACCCUACCUAUAAUACUGGUAUAACUUCGGGAAACCGGAUCUAAUACCGUAGAAUAUUUUGAACCGCAUGGUUCAAAAGUGAAAGUCGGCCUUGCUGUCUCUACUAGAUGCAUCCGCGCUUCAUUAGCUAGUUGGUGAGGUAACGGCCUACCAAGGCAACGAUGCAUAGCCGACCUGCGAGGGUGAUAGGCGACACUGGAACGGGGACGGGGUCCAGACUCCUAAGGGAGGGAGCAGUCGGGAAUGGUCGGCAACGGGGGGAAGCAUGGCGGAGCAAGGCCGAGUGAGUGAUGGAGGUCUUCGGAUCGUAAAAAUCUGUUAUUAGGGAAGAACAUAUGUGUAAGUAAAUGUGCACAUAUUGACGGUAACUAAUCAGAAAGCCACGGCUAACUACGUG
rnacentral:rRNA from 1 species